ACUAUUUUGGCAGAAAAAAUGUCAUGGUUUUAGAAGUCAUUAAUAUAUAAUAAAUUAUAUAAAUAGUA
rnacentral:tRNA from 1 species